rnacentral:rRNA from 1 species
CCUACGGGAGGCAGCAGUGGGGGAUAUUGCACAAUGGGGGAAACCCUGAUGCAGCGACGCCGCGUGAGUGAUGAAGUAUUUCGGUAUGUAAAGUUCUAUCAGCAGGGAAGAAAAUGACAGUAAGUGACCAAUAAGCCCCGGCUGACUACGUGCCAGCAGCCGCGGUAAUACGUUGGGGGCACGCUUUCUCCGGUUUUACUGGGUGGAACGGGAUCGUAGACGGUUAUGUUAGUCUGGGUGGAAAGCCCGGGGCCCAACCCCGGGACCGCUUUGGAUACUAUGUAACUAGAGUACAGGAGGGGCAGGCGGAAUUCCUGGUGAAGCGGUGAAAUGCGUAGAUAGCAGGAAGAACACCAGCGGCGAAGGCAGCCUGCUGGGCUGAAACUGACGUUGAGGCUCGAAAGCGUGGGGAGCAAACAGGAUUAGAUACCCGUGUAGUC